GAAAUAAAUGCUUGAAAUUAAAAGCUUGGGUACCGUCUGUCUGACACAGGAAAUGUGAGGGAUUUUGCCUAUUGUGUCCCAUGCUGCUUAGAACAGAGAAUGAGAACAGAGAGGCUGUCUUGGCAAAGGAUGUGUCACAACAACAAAACCAUCUUUAAUGGCCUUUGUUUGAACCCAUACCCCCAUUUCUUCUUUUGGGUAUUUGAUGUUCUCAUAUUGAAGCUUCGGUGAGCCCAGAUUGGCUGUAUCCUUAAUAAGACCCCACAGCUGGUCCCUCAUUCAUCCUGCUCUCUGGUGAGCAUAAGGAGAGUAAACUAGGAGCCUAGCUCAGGCUGGGGCUUGGGGAAGAGGUGACUAAGGGAGUGGAGAGGACAGGAGUGGACAUCAUUUAAAGUCACUAUAGCCAGGCUCAGACCAACAGCACUAUGCCUAGAUUGGCAUCUUGUUUUCUGACUGUUGAAAGGUUCCUUUUGUCCCUUCUGCAGAAUCCACCAGAGUCCUGCAGAAUCAAACCACAAACACCGGAGAAAAUCACUGAGUGAAAGCAGGCAUCACUGCUUCCUAGAACUGCAUGCUGUGCUUAUGCCACUAGGCCUCCAGGCAAGAAAAGUUGCAAGGAGGAUGGUGUGACCUUUAAAAGAAUCCAUAUAUAUCAAGACUACCAAGCUAAUUAAACAGGAUUGUGAGAGAGAAGGAGAUGAGUAAAUGCUUUUUGCUUUAAGGAUUUAAGGGAAAUUUCCCAAGACUGGCCAGGUGGACAGCA
rnacentral:lncRNA from 1 species